GGACAACCUACCCUCCGGACGGGUAUAAACCCGGGAAACUGGGUAUAAUCCCCGAUAGAUCUCGGUCGCUGGAAUGCCCCGAGAUCGAAAGCUCCGGCGCCAGAGGAUGGGUCUGCGGCCUAUCAGGUAGUAGUGGGUGUAGCGUACCUACUAGCCUACGACGGGUACGGGUUGUGAGAGCAAGAGCCCGGAGAUGGAUUCUGAGACACGAAUCCAGGCCCUACGGGGUGCAGCAGGCGCGAAAACUUUACAAUGCCGGCAACGGCGAUAAGGGGACCUCGAGUGCCAGGUUACAAAUCUGGCUGUCGUGAUGCCUAAAAAGCAUUGCAUAGCAAGGGCCGGGCAAGACCGGUGCCAGCCGCCGCGGUAACACCGGCGGCUCGAGUGGUAACCGUUAUUAUUGGGUCUAAAGGGUCUGUAGCCGGCCGGAUAAGUCUCUUGAGAAAUCCAGCAGCUCAACUUUUGGGCUUUCAGGAGAUACGUAGUUCGGCUCGAGGCCGGGAGAGGUGAGAGGUACUUCAGGGGUAGGG
rnacentral:rRNA from 1 species